rnacentral:rRNA from 1 species
UACGAAGGGGGCGAGCGUUGUUCGGAAUUACUGGGCGUAAAGGGCGCGUAGGCGGCCAUUCAAGUCGGAGGUGAAAGCCCAGGGCUCAACCCUGGAAUUGCCUUCGAUACUGUUUGGCUAGAGACCGGAAGAGGUAAGUGGAACUGCGAGUGUAGAGGUGAAAUUCGUAGAUAUUCGCAAGAACACCAGUGGCGAAGGCGGCUUACUGGUCCGGUUCUGACGCUGAGGCGCGAAAGCGUGGGGAGCAAACAGG